rnacentral:rRNA from 1 species
UGCCAGCCGCCGCGGUAAUACGGAGGGUGCAAGCGUUAAUCGGAAUUACUGGGCGUAAAGCGCGCGUAGGCGGAUGCUUAAGUCAGAUGUGAAAGCCCUGGGCUCAACCUAGGAAUUGCACCUGAUACUGGGCGUCUAGAGUAUGGUAGAGGAUGGCGGAAUUUCCGGUGUAGCGGUGAAAUGCGUAGAUAUCGGAAGGAACACCAGUGGCGAAGGCGGCCGUCUGGGCCAAUACUGACGCUGAGGCACGAAAGCGUGGGGAGCGAACAGGAUAAGAUA